rnacentral:misc_RNA from 1 species
AGUUGAACUAGCCGUCGACGGCAGUACGCCGUCGACCGUCGAAGGUGUUCGGUCUACUUGUCGAUGGUAUUCCCGGUUCGACAUUUUUUUCCUAUUCUAACUGUUUAUUCGAUAUAAGAACUUUUGUUUUUAUUUUUAAUUCCUCAAACAGUGCAUUUGAGAGAUAGGAAAAGUCUCUGGUGCGUUUAACGAAUAUAUUUGUUAUAUAUUGGGCUUGAUAUUUUUUUUUUCUUUUACUUUGAUAGAGUCAGUGGUGAAAGAGGAGGAAGAACGUUGUUUCAAUAAGCGGCAUCGCGUGAAAAAUUAAAUACAGCUUUCGCCAUACCACCCAGCGAAGGGUGAUUAAUGGAUUCGAUUCGUUGAACCGAAGCAAGCCGUGUAACGAAAAAGGAUAGAUCUAUAGAAGUGGAUAAUAUAGAGAUAUAGAGAGUGUUAAAGAGAGACGGAACGAUUCGGGGAAAAAGAAAAACAGAGGUAAAGUGUGGAAGAAGAGGAAAGUGUACGAGUGAGAAAGCAGGAAAGAAAGAAAGGGAAAAGAGUUAGUUCGAAAGGUGGUGAGUGGAGGGAAAAGGAAAAUAUAAGAGGAGAGAAUAGAGAAAGGAGGAAGGAUUUUAUUUCCGAAAGUGUGGAGAGCCCUUGCAGAGACGAAGGACCAACGACCAUGACGGAGGGCGGACUCGAUGUUUGUGUAAUAAAUAUCAGAUCACAAUUGGAUAGCGUGUGGUAAUCGUAAAUACUACGUAAAUUCUUGGAAUCGUGGGGUUGGCCUGCGUUUAAACGUGGCUAGCUCAAAUGAGGCCGGUCCAUUGGAUAGUUGGAAUCUAAUGACGAAGAACAAGCGGACAAAUUGGCGUCGGCUGUUGGCAGGCGGCUUGGUAGCCAUUGUCGCAUUGGCCUUGGUAGUCGCCGCAGUAAUUCUUUUGACCGGCAGCCCAGAUAGCUCAACAUCAAGAACGACAAGCGCGCCUGGCAUUUCCCUCGAAGAAUGGCUCGCCGGUUCGUUAUCUCCCAAGAGCUUCAACGCGACCUGGCUCAGCGGAAAUGAGAUUCUUUACCGUGACGAAAUUGGGAAUCUUGUCAUCUAUAAUGUCGAAUCGGCCUCUUCUAAGAUCAUCCUUGACAUGACAAAUUCCGUAAGUAUUUUAAAAUUUAAAUAACCUUUUUAAAUUUGUUACUUUUUUUAUU